GAUGAACGCUGGCGGCGUGCCUAAUACAUGCAAGUCGAGCGAACGGACGAUAAGCUUGCUUUUCUGAUGUUAGCGGCGGACGUGUGAGUAACACGUGUAUAACCUACCUAUAAUACUGGUAUAACUUCGGGAAACCGGAUCUAAUACCGUAUAAUAUUUUGAACCGCAUGGUUCAUAAGUGAAAGACGGUCUUGCUGUCACUUAUAGAUGGAUCCGCGCUGCAUUAGCUAGUUGGUAAGGUAACGGCUUACCAAGGCAACGAUGCAUAGCCGACCUGAGAGGGUGAUCGGCGACACUGGAAGUGAGACACGGUCCAGACUACUACGGGAGGCAGCAGUAGGGAAUAUUCCGCAAUGGGCGAAAGCAUGACGGAGCAACGCCGCGUGAGUGAUGAAGGUCUUCGGAUCGUAAAACUCUGUUAUUAGGGAAGAAAAGAUGUGUAAGUAAAUGUGCACAUCUUGACGGUACCGAAUAAGAAAGCAACGGCUAACUACGUG
rnacentral:rRNA from 1 species